AGUGAACGCUGGCGGUAGGCCUAACACAUGCAAGUCGAACGGCAGCACAGAGGAGCUUGCUCCUUGGGUGGCGAGUGGCGGACGGGUGAGGAAUACAUCGGAAUCUACUCUGUCGUGGGGGAUAACGUAGGGAAACUUACGCUAAUACCGCAUACGACCUACGGGUGAAAGCAGGGGAUCUUCGGACCUUGCGCGAUUGAAUGAGCCGAUGUCGGAUUAGCUAGUUGGCGGGGUAAAGGCCCACCAAGGCGACGAUCCGUAGCUGGUCUGAGAGGAUGAUCAGCCACACUGGAACAGAGACACGGUCCAGACUCCUACGGGAGGCAGCAGUGGGGAAUAUUGGACAAUGGGCGCAAGCCUGAUUCAGCCAUACCGCGUGGGUGAAGAAGGCCUUCGGGUUGUAAAGCCCUUUUGUUGGGAAAGAAAUCCAUCUGGUUAAUACCCGGAUGGGAUGACGGUACCCAAAGAAUAAGCACCGGCUAACUUCGUGCCAGCCGCCGCGGUAA
rnacentral:rRNA from 1 species